AUGCAGUUUCCAAAGUUAAAUGAGAUUGCUAUUGCUACUGCUUGCCAUCCAAAGUUAAAUGAGAUUGCUACUGCUUUCCAUCCUGCAGCUGAGUUUAGGUUGAUAAACAACUACUUGACAAGUGAUCAUUGCUAUGGAGUUGUAUUUGAAAAGAACCAAAAUGAUAAACAUGGAUUUGGUCAUGUCACUCUAGAAACUGCUGCCAGAUUCUUUUUGAUUUCUGGAAUUUCCAUAUCAGGUUAUUGUCCGAUAGGGAUUGAAGAAGCUUCAUACCAAACUCAGUAA